GGAACAAGACAGGGAGCAGAGGCGGCGGGGUUCAGGCGAGCGGGAAGCGGGAAGCGAGAGGCGGGUGUGAGAUGGGGUCCUGAGGCUGGAAGGGAGCCCGGGGACAAUUGGAGUUGCACACGCUCGGAAGGCGGGAGGCGGCAAGGAGAAGGCUGCCUUAGAGCGCAGUGGACUUCACUGGAAGAUGCUAUUUCACCAAAAUCUGCAAAUGUAAACUGAAGGACAUCGCAUGUUUAAAAUGUGGGAACAUUGUAGGUUAUCAUGUGAUUGUUCCAUGUAGUUCCUGUCUUCUUUCCUGCAACAACGGACACUUCUGGAUGUUUCACAGCCAGGCAGUUUAUGAUAUUAACAGACUAGACUCCACAGGUGUAAACGUCCUACUUUGGGGCAACUUGCCAGAGAUAGAAGAGAGUACAGAUGAAGAUGUGUUAAAUAUCUCAGCAGAGGAGUGUAUUAGAUAAAUGGAAUUAUGAUAUAUAUGAUAUACAAACUUUUUUCUAUUUAAAAAUAUAUUAAUGGAUCAACUUUAAAAUUGUUAGUUGCCAGUGAUCUUUUUUGGAAAACAAAAAUGGGG
rnacentral:lncRNA from 1 species